GAUGUGGCGCAGUGGUGGUGCGAUUGCCUGCGACGCAGAAGGUUCCAGGUUCGGUUCCCGGUGGGUCA